UUGAUCCCUAUAACCUAAUU
rnacentral:siRNA from 1 species